CGACCUCAGAGCAGAUGAGAUUACCCGCUGAAUUUAAGCAUAUUACUAAGCGGUGGAAAAGAAACUAACUAGGAUUCCCUUAGUAGCGGCGAGCGAACAGGGAAGAGCCCAGCACUAAAUCCCGCGGCCGGAGACGGACGCUGGGAAAUGUAGUGUUUAGGGAGGAUCCGAUUAUCUCGGUGCGUUGCGGCGAGUUCAAGUCCAUCUUGAAUGGGCCAUUUACCCAUAGAGGGUGCCAGGCCCGUAGCGACCGUUGCGCGUAUCGAGAGAUCUCUCUCAGAGUCGAGUUGCUUGAGAGUGCAGCUCUAAGUGGUGGUAAACUCCAUCUAAGGCUAAAUAUGACCACGAGACCGAUAGCGAACAAGUACCGUGAGGGAAAGUUGAAAAGAACUUUGAAGAGAGAGUUCAAGAGUACGUGAAGAUCCGAUUAUCUCGGUGCGUUGCGGCGAGUUCAAGUCCCAUCUUGAAUGGGGCCAUUUACCCAUAGAGGGUGCCAGGCCCGUAGCGACCGUUGCGCGUAUCGAGAGGAUCUCUCCUCAGAGUCGAGUUGCUUGAGAGAGUGCAGCUCUAAGUGGUGGUAACUCCAUCUAAGGCUAAAUAUGACCACGAGACCGAUAGCGAACCAGUACCGUGAGGGAAAGUUGAAAAGAACUUUGAAGAGAGAGUUCAAGAGUACGUGAAACCGUUCAGGGGUAAACCUGAGAAACCCGAAAGAUCGAAAGGAGAGAUUCAAUGUUAUCAUUGUCUUCCAUUUAUUGGCGUGCGAUUGACCGGAUUCGUCCUGCGAUACGCCGUCGGUUUAUGCGUUAGGCGGCGAUGGCAUGCACUUCUCUCUCAGUAGGACGUCGCGACCCGUUUGGUGUCGAUCUACGACCGCGGCGGACUCUAUCCGGUCAGCGAUGCUAUUGCUUUGGGUACUUUCAGGACCCGUCUUGAAACACGGACCAAGGAGUCUAGCAGUGCGCGAGUCAUUGGGAAUACAAAACCUAAAGGCGCAAUAAAGGUUCGCUUAAUGUAACUGAGGGAUGACGGACCGCAUCUACGGAUGCGUGCUCGCAAUCCCGGGCGUCUCACUCUCAUUGCGAGAAGAGGCGCACCCAGAGCGUACACGCGGGGACCCGAAAGAUGGUGAACUAUGCCCGGUCAGGUCGAAGUCAGGGGAAACCCUGAUGGAGGACCGUAGCGAUUCUGACGUGCAAAUCGAUCGUCGGAACUGGGUAUAGGGGCGAAAGACUAUCGAACCAUCUAGUAGCUGGUUCCCUCCGAAGUUUCCCUCAGGAUAGCUGGCAUUCGAUGAGCGAGUCUCAUCCGGUAAAGCGAAUGAUUAGAGGCCUUGGGGCCGAAACGACCUCAAACCUAUUCUCAAACUUUAAAUGGGUGAGAUCUCUGGCUUGCUUGAAUAGUGAAGCCAGAGAUUUGGAUCAGAGUGCCUAGUGGGCCAUUUUUGGUAAGCAGAACUGGCGCUGUGGGAUGAACCAAACGCCGAGUUAAGGCGCCUAAACGACGCUAAUGGGAUACCAUGAAAGGCGUUGGUUGCUUAAGACCAGCAGGACGGUGGCCAUGGAGUUGGAAUCCGCUAAGGAGUGUGUAACAACUCACCUGCCGAAGCAAACUAGCCCUGAAAAUGGAUGGCGCUGAAGCGUCGUGCCUAUACUCGGCCGCCAGGGCAUGAGAAACGUUCAUAAUAGUUUGUUUUGACGCCCUGGUGAGUAGGAGGGUCGCGGUGGUGUGCGCAGAAGGGUUUGGGCGUAAGCCUGCCUGGAGCCGCCAUCGGUGCAGAUCUUGGUGGUAGUAGCAAAUACUCCAGCGAGGCCCUGGAGGACUGACGUGGAGAAGGGUUUCGUGUGAACAGCCGUUGCACACGAGUCAGUCGAUCCUAAGCCCCAGGAGAAAUCCUAUGUUGAUGUCGGUGUAUUUUAUUUUGAAUAAAAUUUCACACCCAUCGGGCGAAAGGGAAUCCGGUUCCUAUUCCGGAACCCGGCAGCGGAACCGUUUACAAGUCGGGCCCUCGCAAGAGAGUUCGUCGGGGUAACCCAAAAUGACCUGGAGACGCCGUCGGGAAAUACGGGAAGAGUUUUCUUUUCUGUAUGAGCGUUCGAGUUCCCUGGAAUCCUCUAGAAGGGAGAUAGGGUUUGGAACGCGAAGAGCACCGCAGUUGUGGCGGUGUCCGUAUCUUCCCCUCGGACCUUGAAAAUCCAGGAGAGGGCCACGGUAGGUGUCGCGCCGGUUCGUACCCAUAUCCGCAGCAGGUCUCCAAGGUGAAGAGCCUCUAGUCGAUAGAUAAAUGUAGGUAAGGGAAGUCGGCAAAUUGGAUCCGUAACUUCGGGAUAAGGAUUGGCUCUGAGGAUCGGGGCGUGCCGGGCUUGGUUGGGAAGCGGGCGUAGGCCGAUGUGCCGGGCCUGGGCAAGGUGAAAUUGUCCUUGUGACUUAGAUCCGAGCUCGGUCCCGUGUCUAGGCCCCCCGCGGAUCUUUCUUGCUGCGAGGUUUCUGUGCCGGCUUC